rnacentral:rRNA from 1 species
CCAAUAGCGUAUAUUAAAGUUGCUGCAGUUAAAAAGCUCGUAGUUGAAUUUCGGGACUAAUAUGUCGGUCGUGCCUCGGUACGUACUGGUAUUUUUGGUUUCUCCCUUCUGGCGAACCUUGAUGUCAUUAAUUUGGUGUCUUGGGAAAUCAGGACUGUUACUUUGAAAAAAUUAGAGUGUUUAAAGCAGGCUCACGCUUGAAUACGUUAGCAUGGAAUAAUGAAAUAGGACGUUUGAUUCUAUUUUGUUGGUUUCUAGGAUCGACGUAAUGAUUAAUAGGGAUAGUUGGGGGCAUUAGUAUUCAAUUGUCAGAGGUGAAAUUCUUGGAUUUAUUGAAGACUAACUACUGCGAAAGCAUUUGUCAAGGAUGUUUUCAUUAAUCAAGAACGAAAGUUAGGGGAUCGAAGACGAUCAGAUACCGUCGUAGUCUUAACCAUAAACUAUGCCGACUAGGGAUCGGAUGAUGUUAAUUUUUUAAUGACUCAUUCGGCGCCUUACG